CGGAUGUUGUGAAUUAGGAGCUGGCCAAAGAGUGGGAGAGCUCCAGUAUCCCUCCCCAGAAAAGAUUUGGAAGCAUGGCUGCUAAGAAGCUAAGAAGAGCACAGUUGUCUCAGGAAAUGUGUGAAAGGCUGAGUCGCUAUCAGAUCACUACCUGUCAGGAGUUCUUAUGUCUUUCCCUCUUGGAGCUAAUGAAAGUGACGGGACAGAGCUACUAUGAGGUGCAGAAGCUUCUUUGUAAAGUCAGCCGAGCCUGUGCUCCCAAAAUGCAGACGGCUUAUGAAAUGAAACUAAGGAAGUCUGGUAAUCCUUCUUCAGCCUUUUUAUCCACCACACUUCAUAGUUUGGAUAGGAUCCUGCAUGGUGGAGUGCCUUGUGGAUCCCUCACAGAGAUAACUAGCCCACCAGGUUGUGGAAAAACUCAAUUUUGUAUUAUGUUGAGUGUUCUGGCUACACUGCCUAUAAGCAUGGGAGGACUAGAUGGGGCUGUUAUAUACAUCGACACGGAGUCUGCAUUCAGUGCUGAAAGGUUGAUUGAGAUGGCAGCAAAGAGAUUCCCUGCUUAUUUUGACACAGAUGAGAAGCUGCUCUGCAUGACCCGUAGCAUCCACCUGUACCGAGAGCUCACCUGUUGCAGUGUACUGAAGAGGAUUAUGUCUUUGGAAGAAGAAAUUAUUUCAAAGAAAGUUAAACUUAUAAUAAUUGACUCUGUUGCUUCAGUUGUCAGAAAGGAGUUUGAUACAAAACUCCAGGGCAAUCUGGCAGAGAGAAGUAACUUUUUGACUAGAGGAGCAUCAGUGCUGAAGUGUUUGGCAGAGGAGUUCUCAAUACCAGUUAUCUUGACGAAUCAGAUUACCACAUCUCUGAGCAGUGGCCCUGGGAUCCGGGCAGACCUGGUGUCUCCAGCUGAUGAUUUGUCCCUGUCUGAAGGAUCUUCUGUGAGUGGGAAGAGGGAUUCUGGUUGUGUGACAGCAGCCCUUGGCAACACGUGGAGCCACAGCGUCAACACCAGGCUCAUACUACAAUACCAUGACUUGCCAACAAGACAGCUCCUGGUUGCUAAAUCCCCUGUUGCUCCGUUCUCCACUUUUUUCUACACCAUUGAGAAAUCGGGCUUGGUUCUUCAGGUGAUCAUUAUUUCUGUGGAAAGAGGAAGUGAGAAAAUCACCAGGAAAUGUCUGCUUUGGAUAAGAUGCAGAAAGUGGCACCAGGCUGCCCUGUUCAAGAGAGGCUAGAGUUUCUCUGAGUUGUACUUGGUGCAUCUUUCCACAUUGAAGCUGGGUGCAGACUAGAGAAAUGAAAUGUGAUGACUGAAAAGCAAGAUUGGACAGUCAGAAAUUUAGCAAGAAAAGUCUUCAGCCUCCUCCUUUCAUUGCUUCAGAUUGCUCUGUGCUAUAGAAGGAGUGGACUGCAACCCCAAAAAUACCCUCAGUUGCCUUUACAUUGCAAUGCAAUGUCAUGUUCUGCCAUACUGUACAGUGUCAUUCUUUGAUGAACCUGAAUUGUGAGUGCAGAAUCCAGUCUGACAACCAAUCUCUAUUUUGUUGAGAUCUUAGACAAAAAGGCAGAAAAAACUGGAUCUAAGCUCUGCAAAAUAUUGGAAGUUUUGCUGUCAGCUUAGGUUUCCUGUUCUGAGAACUUGCUAUUUCAAUAUAACAUUUUCAGUGAGUGAAGUCAUACCAUUAAAAAGGAGACUAAAAUUAAAA